UGGGGAAUUUUGGACAAUGGGCGAAAGCCUGAUCCAGCAAUGCCGCGUGUGUGAAGAAGGCCUUCGGGUUGUAAAGCACUUUUGUCCGGAAAGAAAUCCUUGGCUCUAAUACAGUCGGGGGAUGACGGUACCGGAAGAAUAAGCACCGGCUAACUACGUGCCAGCAGCCGCGGUAAUACGUAGGGUGCAAGCGUUAAUCGGAAUUACUGGGCGUAAAGCGUGCGCAGGCGGUUUGCUAAGACCGAUGUGAAAUCCCCGGGCUCAACCUGGGAACUGCAUUGGUGACUGGCAGGCUAGAGUAUGGCAGAGGGGGGUAGAAUUCCACGUGUAGCAGUGAAAUGCGUAGAGAUGUGGAGGAAUACCGAUGGCGAAGGCAGCCCCCUGGGCAAUACUGACGCUCAUGCACGAAAGCGUGGGGAGCAAACAGGAUUAGAUACCCUGGUAGUCCACGCCCUAAACGAUGUCAACUAGUUGUUGGGGAUUCAUUUCCUUAGUAACGUAGCUAACGCGUGAAGUUGACCGCCUGGGGAGUACGGUCGCAAGAUUAAAACUCAAAUGAAUUGACGGGGUCA
rnacentral:rRNA from 1 species